rnacentral:rRNA from 1 species
AAACCAGCACCUCAAGUGGUCAGGAGGAUUAUUGGGCCUAAAGCAUCCGUAGCCUGUUCUAUAAGUUUCCGGUUAAAUCCACUAGCUCAACUAGUGGGCUGCCGAAAAUACUGUAGAACUAGGGAGUGGGAGAGGUAGACGGUAUUCGGUAGGAAGGGGUAAAAUCCUUUGAUCUAUUGAGGACCACCUGUGGCGAAGGCGGUCUACCAGAACACGUUCGACGGUGAGGGAUGAAAGCUGGGGGAGCAAACCGGAUUAGAUACCCGAGUAGUCC